rnacentral:tRNA from 1 species
UGGGGCAUAGUGUAAUUGGCAACACUGCGGAUUUUGGUUCCGCCAUUCAGGGUUCGAUUCCCUGUGCCCCUGCCA